UUUUUUCCUUUCAUAAGUAAAAAAUGACUGUAGCCAGCAUUUGGCUGAAGAUGUCUUGGUAAAUUGGACAAGAGAGUUAAAUAGUCUGAAUAUAUAAUCAGCAGUGUUUAAUAUGUGCUUUCUGACCUGUAAAUAAUUCACUGAAGUAUGGUAAAGCUACUUAUUGGUACUCCUGGAGCAAUGAUUCAGAUGUCUCCUGUCAAACACUGAAGUGUGUUUCCUUACUGACUGCUACUUUCAGUGGUCUGCAGUGACAGAGGCUAUCUUGUGCUAGUGUAUACUGUUGCUGGGGCAGAACAUUAGGCAUGCGAAAUGGGAAGAGGUGAGGAAGUUCCUUUGGAAACUCAGAAGUGGGUAAAUUCUCUGAGAAUCAAAUUCCUUUGUUCUACAAGGGCAGAACACAGUGGCAAAUAUUCAACCAGAACUGUUCUUUACUGAGCUGCUUGCUUCUGGUGCCAGUCAUGUAGCUGCAUAUACAACAUCUUGUUCUGAAAUCGCAUCUCUUUUUAGAAUUGUGCUUGUGUCCCCAGGGCAUCUUUGUCAUGUCCACCAAGAAUAAUCAUAGUCCUGUGCUGAAUGCUCUGUCUUUCUUUGUUAAAGUCACCUGAACAAGGAAUAUUAUAGUAAUAUUAACAUCGUGAAUACAAGGUUAAUCCUCAGUAUUUUCCAGGGAAAGAAAAAUUCAGGAUAGCUUCUUUAACUGUGUGGAAGAAAUAUAGAUUAUAUCUCCUAUUAUCCUUGUGUUUGCUUAAUAUUUUAUAAAAUAUUUUGAGAUUGGAUCACAAUAAAUAUAUUAAAAUUACUUUACCCCUAUCUUGAGGUUGACAUUGAAAAUUGUCAUUCCAAUUUGAGGUUAGUUUUAAAAAUAAGUGCUGUUGAGUUUUUAAAAUAAGUGCUAUUGUAUUUUAAAUAGUUGAGAUACAGUAUAACAAAUUCACAUCACAAUAAAUUUUCUUUUCUGCUGAGUCUCACAGAAGAUCUGACUGAGCAGAAAAAUAAAUGCUGAUGAGUAUAUUUUCCUAUGGAGGCAAAAAUUCAAACUUCUGCCUUAGUAAGCUUUAUCUCUAAUUAGCAAAGACACUGUUCUUGUUCUUUUUUAACAAUUUCUAGACUACUUACUUUCAAACAUUUUUCCCACACUAAGAAUUAGUCCCAUGAAGUUUGAAUUUUAAAAAGUAGACCAUGUUUGGAAUUCUGCAGACAUGAGGGGUGGUGUUCAUGUCAUACUAAAUGUCCACGUCUCAGGGUGGACCACUAAAAUUUUACCCUUGGGCCAAAAAUAUGUAUCAGUGGGUUUUUCCAGUGGGAUUCUUCUUUGUAUAUGCAUUUGUGUCUAUGUUAUUUACUGUAAAAUAAGUAAGAAAUCAGGCUGCCAGCAUCUGAUGUCUGAAAUAUUUUUCUUCCCCAGAGCUGCAUAGCAAACUACCUGCUCUUUAUCUGUUACUGCUAGAUAGUCUGAAGGAAUGCUUUUAUUUAGCACAUGAAGAGCCAUCAUAAAAUGAAACUACUGUGGUAUCAAGAAAGAUUAUUAUAAUAGUUCUGUACUACUAUGAUAAUUCUCUUAUAUAUAUUUUAUUUGUUGCAACCAGUAGCAAGACUUUUCUCUGGGUCUCUACUUUUCUUCUAUAAUUAACUGGUGAUUUAUAAUUUCUCAGUAUUUCAACAGCAAAGAAUUCUAUGUUUUCUCUCACUUUUGCACAAAGCUAAUAUAAAUUGGGAAUAAUGUCACUCUUUUUUGGGUAUGAGAUUAGAUCCCUUGUGCACAUGUGUAAAAUGUUGUAAAUACUAGUAUUUUUACCUUGCUCAGAUUCUGAGAAUGACAUUAGAAGGGUAGUGUUUAGAUUAGUUGUCAUUUUUAUACUGCCUUACUGAGCUUCUUUGCUUUUAGCAAACUUUCAGGUGGUAGAUUGCCCUGUGCCAAUUCUUUAGUGGGCCAAAAUGUCAGAACCUACAGCUAAAAGAGCAUUCUUUGCUGACUGCCCAUAUCUAUGUGCUUAUUCUGAAAAAAACUCAAGCAAAACAAACCUUAUCUGUUGAUUCCUUGUACACCUCUUUGGGUAGCUUACCUGUAAAAGGAGAUCUUCAGAGUCUUUCUACUCUGAUUAUGCUAUUAUGUCAGGUACAAAGGCAAGCAGGAACUUGUUUUGUGGUUUUUAAGAUCAAUUUAAAGGCAAAAGUUGCUUUUUAGAAGAUAACAUACAGAGCAAGUGCUACUUUUGAGUAGAGGGUAGAUAGUGUCUGUUUUUAAGGGAAAUUACAGACUGUAGUGAGGAAGGGUCUGAGUUCUUAGAAGCACCAGAUAAAUUUUUUCUGUUAUUUGAAAGAAAUAGAAGAAAUUUUCUUAAUGGAAAGAAAGACAGUGAGAAGCAUUUAUGUACCUAGCUACCCAAAUGUUGUUUUUUGAGUACUUCAGUAUUAAACCUCACAUGAAGCACUCCCAAUUUUAUACUCAAAAGUUUGCUGUGGACUUCCAUAACGAGAUGAUGAAGAAUUGGAUACUGGAAAAAAAAAAUCAGUAUCAUAAUUUCUGAAUAACUCUAAGUAAUAGAAAAUUAAUUUGCGGAUAUUUGUAGUGAAAAUUAUAUAAGCUACUUUCAGUAUCGCAAUUUUUAAAAGUGCAAUUUGGUCCUUUGUAGUACAUUCAGUAAUUUAAUUAAUUGUUAAUUGUUCUUGAUUGAUUUCCUGCAAAUGUAUUCAUCUGUUCUUGACUAUUCACAAAUUUGGGAUGUCUUCAUGAUGAUUCUUCUUUGCAUCUUAUUCAUUCUGAUUCCAAAUAUGAGCUGAUUAUACCUGUAAAAGCAAUUUUAUUGCUUAUGAUUCAUAAACAUCAGGAGCUGAAAAGCAAUACAGAAAGGAUGUCAUUUGUGUAUUCCAAAUCUAUAGACUUUUAUUUCACUGCAGGAGUUAAUCAGCAACACACAUCAGAUUUUUCUCUGCUCCAUCUGCUUGGACUCUGAUGUUGCACAGGUAUCAAUGUGUACUUAGCAUUAACAUUGCAAACAGCUCUCAUUUAAAUCAGUUUCAAAGAUGUAGAUGCUUAAGUUCAAAUAAAAACAUUUUAUAGAGACAUUCCUAAGAAAAAAAUAUACCAGCUUGCUUGGUUAGCCCAGGCUUUGUAGCACUUGAUUUCUAAUUCCUACAUGCUUAACCAAAUGAGCGCCUACGCAGAGGCUGAGCUGCUGUUGGUACUCUGUCCCCCUUGAACCCAGUGAGCUUCCAGUGAGUGGAUGAUCUAGCUGCCCAAAUCUAUUUCAGCUGUAGGCCUAAUGUGCAGUCAAGGCUAGGUAUUUAACUAGUUGCCCUUAAGCUUAAUUUUGAACAUGUGCACCGUGUUGUGGAAGAUAAAAUGUGUGAAAUACAGUUGGUUUGACUGCUUGCUGCUCUGAGCAAUAUAUUUGACUUUUCUUUGACUCUGUUGCAUUUUGGAGCCUUAUUCUGGAGCUUGUAGUUUUUAAAAACAAGUUAACUUCAUGUCUGUGCAAAGCUCAAUUAGGUAUGACAUUUGGAAUAAAGAACAGUACAUUCAAACAAUAACAAUUCAUUGUAUUAUGUCUCAUUCUGGCAAGCUUAAUUGUAAGAAUAUUUGCAAUCCCUGUUCCUGUUUCCCUAUACUGUCCCCAGGAUGGUGCCAGCCCCAAGCUGAGGGUUGCUAGUACUGUAUACCAGUCAAAAAAAGGAGUUUAAUCUCUCUGAUUUGUGAAGCAGGGGGUGGCAGACUAAGAGCACGCUUUUAAUCUCAGCCCAGAAAAGGAUGAAUGUGAGAAAGUGCCUCUCUCCGUCUAGGCUUUAGUACAUACAUAGAAUUACUUUCUUUUGGUAUUUUGAGUUCUGACUCUGGCUACUUCUAAGAUUAAACCUAGCCAGAAAAGAGCAGUAAUAAAACAGUUUUAGGUUUCCAUGUAAUGCAGCUGCAACACAUACUCUGUGUCUUUGCACUCGUAAGUUGGUUUUGAACAUACUAUUGUAGUGAUCCAGGAGCAGAUGAGGCCUCACACUGACUACCUCUCAUGCAAUAAAACCCAGGCUCAUUCAGUACUUAAUACUGAUUGCAGUUGAGCAUCCCUCGGCCACGUGAUUCAGGGAGGUGGUAGUGGGGGGAAGAAUAAACAAGAAAUAAUAACAAAGACUUUAUUCCAGUGAUAUGUGUGGUAUACGUGAUACCCAUAAUACAUACUCAAACUGAAGGAGGUCCUACAGCUUCUGGUAGGAAAUAAAAAGUGAAUUUGGCUAUGCUAUAGUUUUUGUUGUGCUCUAAAAUGUAACAAAAGAGGUCAUCUGUUUCCUUCAGGCUAAGUCAGAUUUUCCAGGAUAUUGUGUCCAAAACAUACACACAAUUCUAAUUUUUGAGGAAACAUGAUGCUCCUUUACCUGUUGCAAUGUAAUUGGAUAAUGCAUGUACAAAUGACUUGUGUAGCCUGCCAAUGAAUGUUGCUAAUGCCUUACCAAAAAGAAAAAAAAAAAAAGAUAAAGCAUAUUUUUUGUAUUUUUUUUUCCUCAGAGGCAAAUCCAAACAAUGCUAGAUUUGGGAAACUGUUUACUGAAAAGCAUUUUCUAAUAGAUCUCUGAAGAAGUGCAAUUGUAUAAUUACUAUUGUUCAGUGCAUACAGUACAUUGUCUCCAUCACUCUGUACACUGCUGCUAUAAGUGCUUGUUCUAAUAAAUCUCAAUGUACA
ensembl:lncRNA